GGCGAUCAGAUACCGCCCUAGUUCUGACCGUAAACGAUGCCAACUAGCGAUCCGCCAGUCGACUCAUCGCUCUGGUGGGGAGCUUCCCGGAAACGAAAGUCUUCCGGUUCCGGGGGAAGUAUGGUUGCAAAGCUGAAACUUAAAGGAAUUGACGGAAGGGCACCAUCAGGAGUGGAGCCUGCGGCUUAAUUUGACUCAACACGGGGAAACUCACCCGGCCCGGACACCGUAAGGAUUGACAGAUUGAUAGCUUUUUCAUGAUUCGGUGGAUGGUGGUGCAUGGCCGUUCUUAGUUCGUGGAGCGAUUUGUCUGGUUUAUUCCGAUAACGAGCGAGACUCUGGCCUACUAAAUAGUUGACGCAUUGCCACUGUGCGCACAACUUCUUAGAGGGAUUUUCGGUGUUUUCAACCGCACGAAAUUGAGCAAUAACAGGUCUGUGAUGCCCUUAGAUGUCCGGGGCUGCACGCGCGCUACACUGGCAAACGCAACGUGCCUGUCCUGCCCCGAAAGGAGCGGGUAAACCCCUGAAAUUUUGCCGUGAUUGGGAUCGGACAUUGCAACUAUUGUCCGUGAACGAGGAAUUCCUUNGUAGGGGCCGAGUCAUCAACUCGUCCCCGAAUACGUCCCUGCCCCUUUGUAA
rnacentral:rRNA from 1 species